rnacentral:rRNA from 1 species
CAAGUCGAACGAUGAAGUUCCUUCGGGAAUGGAUUAGUGGCGAACGGGUGAGGAACACGUGAGAAACCUGCCUUUCAUUCUGGGAUAACACCGGGAAACCGGUGCUAAUACCGGAUACUCCGUCUUGGCGGCAUCGCCGAGCCGGGAAAAAAUUUUGAUGAAAGAUGGUCUCGCGGCCUAUCAGCUAGUUGGUGAGGUAAAGGCUCACCAAGGCGACGACGGGUAGCCGGCCUGAGAGGGCGACCGGCCACACUGGGACUGAGACACGGCCCAGACUCCUACGGGAGGCAGCAGUAGGGAAUAUUGGGCAAUGGGCGCAAGCCUGACCCAGCGACGCCGCGUGAGGGAUGAAGGUCUUCGGAUUGUAAACCUCUUUCAGUAGGGAAGAAGCGAAAGUGACGGUACCUAAAGAAGAAGCACCGGCUAACUAUGUGCCAGCAGCCGCGGUAAUACAUAGGGUGCAAGCGUUGUCCGGAAUUAUUGGGCGUAAAGAGCUCGUAGGUCGUUUGUCGCGUCGAUUGUGAAAAUCUGAGGCUCAACCUCAGACCUGCAGUCGAUACGGGCAAAUUAGAGUGUGGUAGGGGAGACUGGAAUUCCUGGUGUAGCGGUGGAAUGCGCAGAUAUCAGGAGGAACACCAAUGGCGAAGGCAGGUCUCUGGGCCAUAACUGACACUGAGGAGCGAAAGUGCGGGGAGCGAACAGGAUUAGAUACCCUGGUAGUCCGCACCGUAAACGGUGGGCACUAGUUGUGGGAACCUUCCACGGUUUCCGCGACGCAGCUAACGCAUUAAGUGCCCCGCCUGGGGAGUACGAUCGCAAGAUUAAAACUCAAAGGAAUUGACGG